AGAUUUCCUUGAUUGCAUUGUUUAUAGAAAUGCAUAUAAUGAUGAAUUAUUGCAAAGAAGUAAAUUUUAAAUGUCAACCUUUCCAAAAUAAGAUUUCUGGCAGCAAAGGAAAAAAGUUGGCUGGCAUGUAUAACAAGGAUAAAAUACACUAAGCCAACAUAAUCCUUCUAACAAAUUUCUAGAUGACAAAAAGUGGACAGAAGGGUUUAAGAAACCCAUGCUCAUAAACCAAAUAAUGGCACAUUAAGGAGCACAAAUAUUACUUAAUGUGAA
rnacentral:misc_RNA from 1 species